rnacentral:rRNA from 1 species
UGGGGGAUAUUGCACAAUGGGGGAAACCCUGAUGCAGCGACGCCGCGUGAGUGAAGAAGUAUUUCGGUAUGUAAAGCUCUAUCGGCAGGGAAGAAAAAGCGCGCGAGCGCCCUUGACAGUACCUGACUAAGAAGCCCCGGCUAACUACGUGCC